CCUACGGGUGGCAGCAGUGGGGAAUAUUGCACAAUGGGGGAAACCCUGAUCCAGCAACGCCGCGUGAGUGAAGAAGUAUUUCUGUAUGUAAAGCUCUAUCAGCAGGGAAGUAGAUGACGGUACCUGAUUAAGAAGCCACGUCUAACUACGUGCCAGCAGCCGCGGUAAUACGUAGGGGGCCAGCGUUAUCCGGAUUUACUGGGUGUAAAGGGAGCGUAGACGGCAGUGCAAGUCUGGAGUGAAAGCCCGGGGCCCAACCCCGGAACUGCUGUGGAAACUGUGCGGCUAGAGUACAGGAGAGGCAGGCGGAAUUCGUGGUGUAGCGGUGAAAUGCGUAGAUAUUAGGAGGAACACCAGUGGCGAAGGCAGCCUGCUGGACGAUGACUGACGUUGAGGCUCGAAAGCGUGGGGAGCAAACAGGAUUAGAUACCCCAGUAGUC
rnacentral:rRNA from 1 species